AAAACCUAGUAAGGUUUGAAUAUCCUGAAUAGUUUUGCUCCGAGUUGGAUUUUGUUUUACAACGCUGUGGAGAACAUGAAUCGUUUUGGAUUAUAAAAAACUGAAUUUAUCAGACAAAACGAUACUUGGCUAAAUCUCUGGGACCAUCAUGAUGAGAAAUCAGAAGACGGCUCAUUCCUGAAGUUUGUUUUUCCUGAGUUUCCUGAACACAUACCGGCUGAAUCUCCAACCACUUACACCUGCUGCGAUCUGCACACCCGGUCCUGAUUACCAUUCUCUGCACCAUAUAAGCCGCGACCAGACAUCCAUUCCCUGCCGGAUCGUUAGCGUAACCAUUUCUCACCUGGAUUGUCACUCACACCUGCCUGGCUGUCUACUUCACUGCAGCACAUUUUGGAUCAGCACACAACCCUCCAUUCUUCCAGCCUCACUCCCUGUCGACCAA